UGCUUGUCACAGUUAUUGUUGGCAUGCCACAUAACAAAGUUCAAAAGUAUUUAUUUCAUUGUAUAUCAUUCUUGCAAGUAUAUAGCUUUGCGUUGCAAUUU